rnacentral:rRNA from 1 species
UGCCUAACACAUGCAAGUCGAACGCGAAAGUCCCGCAAGGGAUUAGUAGAGUGGCAAACGGGUGAGUAACACGUGGGUGACCUGCCUUCGAGUGGGGGAUAACGCCCCGAAAGGGUCGCUAAUACCGCAUGACAUCCUGCCUUUGAACAGGCGGAAGUCAAAGCUGGGGAUCGCAAGACCUAGCGCUUGAAGAGGGGCCCGCGCCUGAUUAGCUAGUUGGUGGGGUAACGGCUCACCAAGGCGACGAUCAGUAUCCGGCCUGAGAGGGCGGACGGACACACUGGGACUGAGACACGGCCCAGACUCCUACGGGAGGCAGCAGUGGGGAAUUGUUCGCAAUGGGCGCAAGCCUGACGACGCAACGCCGCGUGGAGGAUGAAGAUCUUCGGGUCGUAGACUCC